rnacentral:rRNA from 1 species
AACGAACGCUGGCGGCAUGCCUAACACAUGCAAGUCGAACGAGACCUUCGGGUCUAGUGGCGCACGGGUGCGUAACGCGUGGGAACCUGCCCUUAGGUUCGGAAUAACUCCCCGAAAGGGGUGCUAAUACCGGAUAAUGUCUUCGGACCAAAGAUUUAUCGCCUUAGGAUGGGCCCGCGUUGGAUUAGCUAGUUGGUAGGGUAAAAGCCUACCAAGGCGACGAUCCAUAGCUGGUCUGAGAGGAUGAUCAGCCACACUGGGAAUGAGACACGGCCCAGACUCCGACGGGAGGCAGCAGUGGGGAAUAUUGGACAAUGGGCGAAAGCCUGAUCCAGCAAUGCCGCGUGAGUGAUGAAGGCCUUAGGGUUGUAAAGCUCUUUUAGCCGGGAUGAUAAUGACAGUACCGGGAGAAGAAGCUCCGGCUAACUACGUG